CUAUCUUAAAUUCUCAUCUCGGUACACCGAACGUCUGCUUGGGUGUACAAAACAAGAGGAAGAUGACAACCUGAGCCUAAGAAGGUGAUGGGUCAUACAUCGGUCGUGAGAUAAUACUUGGGACAAGUAUGAGUAGGUGUGAAAGGUAGUAGAUGCAUAUACUACUGGAAGCACAGGACUCACGCUUGGAUCAGGGAAAGUCACAAGGUUACCAAGAAGCUAGUAAAUGAUUUCGUUUUAUUCAAGCAUGUCGUUACCAUCGUUUCGGUAAUGACUAAGAAGAUUGUUGUUAUUCCGACCCUAGUGGUCAUAUCAAAUUGAGUCCGACUACGAUAAGUAUGUUAAAUAGUUCAGAUAACCAAGUCCAAUGUAGCAUCUGACUUAAGCUAAAAGCUUGAAGUAAAAGACAAAUCAAAGCGAUCAGUAGAGGUAUUGCGAUAGUUGCUUGGAGCUAGAAAGGAUACAUUUUAAGAUGUGAUUAGAACAUGAAGGAAGGUAUAGCCUGUUCUGGAAGAAUCUAAAAGACCUAAGUCUAAGUGUUGCAACAUACGAUGAUAGGUCAUUAGAAUAUGACACAUCGAUGCAUGAUAAUAAUAAAAGAACUUAUCUUAAGUUCGUAUCCAGUAAAGAUCGAGAUCGUGACAUCCAGAUCAUGACUGAAAGUCUAACGUGAGAUAGAGAGCGGGUCCAAGAUCGGGCACCGCCUGUGGUCUGGAAGUCUUAGAGUUAGAUACUCGUUCGAAGAAACAUCAAAGUUACGGUAAUUACUUAGGACGAAGAGAUAGCGUAUGAAUUCAUCAUGCGAGCCCUGUUUCAUUGAUGAUUCCGGGACAUAAUCAUCCUAAGGGGAGAUAAUUGUAACGUCCGUAGAUCCGGGCUAGUCAAUUUAGUGGUAAUAGGGGUCGAAAAUGAUUUUUCGAAAAAAUAUUAUUCAGAAUACAUAAUAUUAACCAAGUUGUAGAAUAUGUCACAAGGUUUCCGUACAUAUAAAGAGCGUCGAAAUCCGAGUUAUANNNNUAUAAAGAGCCAAAAUCCGAGUUAUAACGAAGAAGUUAUGACCCGUCGAAGUUUCGCGACGGAACCGACACGGCACCGAAAAACGUAAAUAGUGAAAGUUACGAUAGAGUGACAUUUAGCCUUAGCAAUCUAAACGAAAGUCAUAGAAUACGAUAACCAAAAGCGUCCAUAAAAAGAACGCCCAAAUCUGACUUCGUAUGAGGAAGUUAUGAAUUUUCUAAGAUUUGGCUUAAUAGUGCACGGGCCGAAACUUGAUUUUUAGUUCGAGCGGUUUUUGGCUUACGCGACCUAAAUGAGAGUUGAAGAUCUCAUUAAUAGGAACUCAACGGUAAAAAGAUAGACGAAAACGGAUUCCGUAUGAAGGAGUUACGGAUUCUUCGCGAUCAUUUAGCAGUCUAAACUCCUCCUAUUAUUAAAUUUGAGAUCGGUCGAGAAUUAGCCAACGUAGUCCAAAUAAAAGUUGUAGAUCUUGAAGGCUGAUACGCGAUAGGAGGUGACGUGGCACCACCAGAAUUGGACACGUGGCACUUCUAGAAGGCUGCCAUAUGCCCCAACUCGGUGAGUAGGUCCUCCUACUCGGCGAGUCCAUCGGUCAGCACCCCUAUAAAUAGAGGUGUCGGGUUCCUUCACUUCCUCACACCUUCAAACCCUUCUUUCUCUCUCUAAAGCCCCAANGCUCCCUAACCCCCCUAAAAGCCUAGGUAAACCCCCUAGCACCCGAAGGAAGCCCCGAGGCUCCCGGAGUCCCGAUAAAAGAGCCUUUCGGCUCGGGAACACUGCUCCAGCGAAGCCCGGUUUUUGCGAAAAACCCGCCGUAAGUGAGCUACGCCUACACUAUUUUGAAUAUAGGAUCUAAUUAAUUAUAGUAACAUUAUUAGGACCUUAAAAUAAUUAUUUGGGCUAUUAUUAUGAGUUAUAUUGAGUGUUAUUUAACGCUUAUAUAAUAGUAAUAAUAGAUAGACUAUUAAUUAGUCGUGGUGAACGUUAGACUAAACUCUAGUGGUAAUGAUACUAGGUUUCGUCAAGGGAUAAUUAUUUUAAGACUAACGAAGUGCAGUCCGAGUGCCGAAUGACCACCUUACCAGGUGAGUGCAUAGUCCCUUUCUUUAACAUGAUAAUUUUAUACAAGUAAUUAUUGAAGUAUUAAUUAUAUGUUUAUGUGUGAGUUAAUUGAUGUUCCCUGAAAUACGUGUUAAAGAACAUACCUGAUUAUAUAUAUGAUAAUUUAGGAUAAAGAGUAUACCUAAAUUAAUUAUGAGGAAUAUUGGGUAGUAUUUUCUUACGAGUACAAGUGAGUUAUACUCAGAGAAUAGAACUUUAGUAUAUGUCAUUUAUCCGAGAGCAUGGAUUAGACAUAGUCAUUGUCCCUAGUCCGAGAGUAUGGAUUGGACAUAGUCAACUAUCAUUAAUCUGGAGGCAUGGAUUAAAACAUAGUAAGUUGUCCUUAGUCCGAGAGUAUGGAUUAAUACAUAGUCAUUCGUCCCUAGUCCGAGAGUAUGGAUUAGGCAUAAUCAUUCGUUAUUAAUCCGAGAGUAUGGAUUAGUCAUUUGACCCUAGUCCGAGAGUAUGGAUUAGGCAUAAUCAAUCGUCAUUAAUCCGAGUGUAUGGAUUAGUCAUUCGUUCCUAGUCCGAGAGUAUGGAUUAGGCAUAAUCAUUCGUCAUUAAUCCGAAAGUAUGGAUUAGUCAUUCGUCCCUAGUCCGAGAGUAUGGAUUAGGCAUAAUCAUUCGUCAUUAAUCCGAAAGUAUGGAUUAGUCAUUCGUCCCUAGUCCGAGAGUAUGGAUUAGGUAAAACGUUUAAUCUUAGGUUUGAGAGUAUGGAUAGUCUCGUUGUGAGGAUCGACGGGGUGGGAUAAGAGUUGCUUACACAUAUAUGGUGAAAUUGUAUGUUUUUUGAGUUCUAAAUUAUAUAUAUGAUAUAACAUUGUAGGAUUGAAAUCUCUAUGUACUCACCAGGUUUCCCAACCUGACCCACUCAUUUUUUUUAUAUCACAGGUGUCGAUAUGAAGUGGCAUUACACUGAGAGAUUAAGGAGAUAUAGAUCACUAGUGUAAAUGAAUGUAAGUUCUGUUUAUACUUAUGUUUCUAUAUUGACAAUAACAUCCCAAACGUUUUAAAAUGAAUAAAAUACGUUUCUUCGAAAAUGUUUUGAUAACGUAUUUAUCGUGUUUUCUGGGAACAAAUUCCGCAGCAUUUUUAUGAAAAGAAGUACUCUGAUUUUUAACAAAGCAUAAACAAAAUCGGUCUUUUUUGGCCGUGGAAAAUGGGGAUGUCACUUUUGGUAUCAGAGCAUUAGUUUAAGCGAACUACGGAUAUGGAUUUAUUUCUAGACUUAAAAUUAGAAUGAUAAGCAAUGAUUGUGAGGAGUGUGUCUGAUAGAUUUAGGUAAUACACUCGAAUAGACAUAAGCACUAGCUUAUUUUAGGAAUGAUGCCUAAAUUGCUUUUACGUGCUAAAUGAUUUGUUAUGAUUUAUGCUAUAGUUUGAUCAGAUCUAUGGUAUGUUGUUGACCGGAUCUGGAAACCUUAUGUGUUUAGGAUUUUAAGCGUAUGAUUACGAUAUUAGAACUAGCAUGUAACAUUUCAGAGUAAUAAGGAGAUUUAUACGUCUAUAAUAAAUAAGAUCUUUCCUAUCUUAAAUUCUCGUCUCGGUACACCGAACGUCUGCUUGGGUGUACAAAACAAGAGGAAGAUGACAACCUGAGCCUAAGAAUGUGAUGGGUCAUACAUCGGUCGUUGCGCCUGCACCCGAACCUAUCACAAAGGCAGAAGUUCAGGAAGUGAUGCGAACCAUGAUAAACUGAGAAAAUAGAGGAAAAGAGACGACUUACGAUACUGAAUAAUACCUAUCAGAAGAUAUAAUAAGAGAGGUAUCUUGCCUUUAGAAUACGUCUGAUAAAAUAGCAGUACGUCUAUAGAAGUAGGGUACAUCUGAAUGUACACAUUUGAUUGGCGGGAUGAUAGAACGAUUGAUGUAAUUCGUAAAGUUUUCCUAUCAUCUGGAAUGUCCAUCACCAACCGAAUUGAAGCAGAAUUGACGAUUGAAGAUAUGCAUGGAAGAAGUCCUAGUAGAGUCUAGGGCAAUUUUUAUGAAUAUUUGGACACACUCGUAUGCGUUAAAUUGUUUCAUGAUUUUAGGACUUGGGUACUGUGAGACAAUACUCGGGACAAGUAUGAGUAGGUGUGAAAGGUAGUAGAUGCAUAUAAUACCGGAAGCACAGGACUCACGCUUGGAUCAGGGAAAGUCACAAGGUUACCAAGAAUCUAGUAAAUGAUUUUAUUUUAUUCAAGCAUGUCGUUACCAUCGUUUCGGUAAUGACUAAGAAGAUUGUUGUUAUUCCGACCCUAGUGUUCAUAUCAAAUUGAGUCCAACUACGAUAAGUAUGUUAAAUAGUUUAGAGAACCAAGUCCGAUGUAGCAUCUGACUUAAGAUAAAAGCUUGAAGUAAAAGACAAAUCAAAGCGAUCAGUAGAGGUAUCGCGAUAGUUGCUUGUAGCUAGAAAGGCUACCUUUUAAGAUGUGAUUAGAACAUGAAGGAAGGUAUAGCCUGUUCUGGAAGACUCUAAAAGACCUAAGUCUAAGUGUUGCAACAUACGAUGAUAGGUCAUUAGAAUAUGACACAUCGAUCCAUGAUAGUAAUAAAAGAACUUAUCUUAAAUUCGUAUCCAGUAAAGAUCGAGAUCAUGACUGAAAGUCUAACGUGAGAUAGAGAGCGGGUCCAAGAUCGGGCACCGCCUGUGGUCAGGAGUCUUAGAGUUAGAUACUCGUUUGAAGAAACAUCAAAGUUACGGUAAUUACUUAGGAUAAACAGAUAGCGUAUGAAGUCAUCAUGCGAGCCCUGUUUCGUUGAUGAUUCCGGGACAUAAUCAUCCUAAGGGGGAGAUAAUUGUAACGCCCGUAGAUCCGGGCUAGUCAAUUUAGUGGUAAUAGGGGUCGAAAAUGACUUUUCGACAAAAGAUUAUUUAGAAUAAAUAAUAUUAACCAAGUUGUAGAAUACGUCACAAGGUUUCCGUACAUAUAAAGAGCAUCGAAAUCCGAGUUAUAACGAAGAAGUUAUGACCCGUCGAAGUUUCGCG
rnacentral:lncRNA from 1 species